rnacentral:rRNA from 1 species
UACAGAGGGGGCAAGCGUUGUUCGGAAUUACUGGGCGUAAAGGGCGCGUAGGCGGCCUUCUAAGUCGAACGUGAAAUCCCCGGGCUCAACCCGGGAACUGCAUCCGAUACUGGAUGGCUUGAAUCCGGGAGAGGGAUGCAGAAUUCCAGGUGUAGCGGUGAAAUGCGUAGAUACCUGGAGGAAUACCGGUGGCGAAGGCGGCAUCCUGGACCGGCAUUGACGCUGAUGAGCGAAAGCUAGGGGAGCAAACGGG